UACGUAGGGGGCAAGCGUUGUCCGGAUUUAUUGGGCGUAAAGAGCGUGUAGGCGGCCUGAAAGGUCAGCUGUGAAAACUCGAGGCUCAACCUCGAGACGUCGGUUGAAACCAUCUGGCUAGAGUCCGGAAGAGGAGAGUGGAAUUCCCGGUGUAGCGGUGAAAUGCGCAGAUAUCGGGAAGAACACCCGUGGCGAAGGCAGGUCUCUGGGCAUUAACUGACGCUGAGGAGCGAAAGCAUGGGGAGCGAACAGG
rnacentral:rRNA from 1 species